AUUGAACGCUGGCGGCAGGCUUAACACAUGCAAGUCGAGCGGGGUGAUGGUGCUCGCACUAUCACUUAGCGGCGGACGGGUGAGUAAUGCUUAGGAAUCUGCCUAUUAGUGGGGGACAACAUCUCGAAAGGGAUGCUAAUACCGCAUACGUCCUACGGGAGAAAGCAGGGGAUCACUUGUGACCUUGCGCUAAUAGAUGAGCCUAAGUCGGAUUAGCUAGUUGGUGGGGUAAAGGCCUACCAAGGCGACGAUCUGUAGCGGGUCUGAGAGGAUGAUCCGCCACACUGGGACUGAGACACGGCCCAGACUCCUACGGGAGGCAGCAGUGGGGCAUAUUGGACAAUGGGGGGAACCCUGAUCCAGCCAUGCCGCGUGUGUGAAGAAGGCCUUAUGGUUGUAAAGCACUUUAAGCGAGGAGGAGGCUCUUUUGGUUAAUACCCAAGAUGAGUGGACGUUACUCGCAGAAUAAGCACCGGCUAACUCUGUGCCAGCCGCCGCGGUAA
rnacentral:rRNA from 1 species